ensembl:lncRNA
GUAGAAAGGUCCCUGGAACUCCUGCUGUGGCCCCAGGGAGCCCUGAACUCGGCCAAAGGGCUGACCUGCCUGCCCCACCUCCAGUGCACACGCCCACAUCUGCUCCUACACCCUCAGGGUGUCCUGCUGUUGUGUGUUAUCUGUAGGUAAUCAGCAGCUGUAAUCACUCCAGCAGCUCCUUCCCACUGCCUGGUCUGUGGUGUCAAAGGGAGUCACUGUCCGGCAUGGAGUCCCCCAGUCUGCCUGCCGUUGUUCCAGUCAGCAGCUUCACUUCUUGGAGUCUCAGUUUUGCCAUCCUUAAAAUGGGUAUAAUACAAAUGCUACCACAUGAGUGACUGUGGGAAUUCAGCUGGAUCAGUGGCCUAGGGGAGCUGGAGUGGCAUUUUGAGGUCUCCUGAGCCCCUCCCAGAGCAGAAAACAUGUGGCUGGAGGUGACACAGGACCGGUAUGAGUGUGUGUGAAUGUGGGGGGCCCCAGUGGACUCCCAGGAACACAGCUGUGUGAUUGUGAAU